UUUUUAUUCACUUUGUGUAAUAUGAACAUGAUGAUGAUAUUGUUAAGGGAAAUGAUAUUUCCACAUAUAAUUUUGAUAUUUCCACAUGUGCUCCGCUCACAUAAAGGUGGGACCCACCCUACUCUCAUGUGAGAGAAGACCACGUGGAAAUAUCAAAGUUACAUGUGGAAAUAGUGCUCCCCUAUUGUUAUGAUGUUUAAUUCUAUAAUUAUGAACUAAACUUCUAUUUUAAGAUUGCAAUGUAACCUAAUGAUUAGUUAAAUCGAAUUUCUCUCAUGUUUAUUAUAAUGAAUCACAUGUUUAUGAGUUAUUAUAUUUCAUGCUUCGUGUAUUAAUUACUUAGCCAAGUGAUUAAUGUGGAUAUUUAUAUGAUAUUGGAAAAUGGAUUAUAAAACAUAUAUCUAAAUAUAAUAACACAUGUUAUAAGCAUUUUUCUUAGGAUUGAAUGUGUGAGGUCCCCGAAUCCAGAUACUUG
rnacentral:lncRNA from 1 species